UACGGGGGGAGCAAGCGUUGUUCGGAUUUACUGGGCGUAAAGGGCGCGUAGGCGGUCAGCGCAAGUCAGUUGUGAAAUCUCCGGGCUUAACUCGGAAAGGUCAACUGAUACUGUGCGACUAGAGUGCGGAAGGGGCAACUGGAAUUCUCGGUGUAGCGGUGAAAUGCGUAGAUAUUCGGAAGAACACCAGUGGCGAAGGCGGCUCACUGGCCCGGUACUGACG
rnacentral:rRNA from 1 species